rnacentral:rRNA from 1 species
UACGUAGGCAGCGAGCGUUGUUCGGAGUUACUGGGCGUAAAGAGUGCGUAGGCGGUUUUCUAAGUUUGGUGUGAAAUCUCCCGGCUUAACUGGGAGGGUGCGCCGAAGACUGGAAGGCUUGAGUAUGGGAGAGGUAAGCGGAAUUCCUGGUGUAGCGGUGAAAUGCGUAGAUAUCGGGAGGAACACCAGUGGCGAAGGCGGCUUCCUGGCCUGUUCUUGACGCUGAGGCGCGAAAGCUAGGGGAGCAAACGGG